GAUCCCUCCUCUGGAGUUUUGCAGCAAGCCCAGGAUGCAGGUACUACAGAGCGGGUGUGUCUGAUCCAGGGAACAGUUGAAGCACUAAAUGCAGUUCAUGGCUUCAUUGCAGAGAAGAUUCGAGAAAUGCCUCAAAAUGUGGCCAAGACAGAGCCUGUCAGCAUCCUACAGCCUCAGACCACUGUCAAUCCAGACCGCAUCAAACAAACAUUGCCAUCUUCCCCAACUACCACCAAGUCCUCUCCAUCUGAUCCCAUGACCACCUCCAGAGCCAAUCAGGUACAGUAUCAUCCUACCAUCUACACCAUACUUUUCACGGGUGACAGCUUGCAAACUGGAGAAAAAGAUAUGGUGGGUUAAGGAUUUAUUCGUUCAUUCACAUGUGUACACCCAUAACCAUAGAUAUCUAACUCUUAUUAGAAUUUCGUAAAUUGAAUGGAAAUUUUUUUUUCUUUUGUUUUGUUGUCUUCUUUAAGAUCUCAGAUUUAAUUUUUUUUUUAAUCUUGUAAAAUAGUAUUAUUUUUUAAAUUUGGUUAAUAAAUAGUAGGUAUACAUACAGGUAUUUCUGUAGACAGAGUAAGUCUUGGUAUGUUUAUGUAUAUAUGCACACACGUAUUUACUUCCUGGAUAAAUUACAGUGGAGUUACCCAUAAACCAUAUUUAAUUGGAUGUAUAUCAGCCUGGCAAUAUAUUUUAGAUUUUAUUUACUUACUGAUUUCUCAAGAAUUUUCAAAUAUGUUUGUGGACAGUAACAUAAAGACAUUGUUUAAGUAUGUUUAAUUAUUAUUGUGUGUAAUAAAAGAUCUUAAAUGAAAAUCUCUUGACUUAGAAUGAAGUAAAAUUAAGUCACUUUAAAACAUCUCAAAUACAUCUAAUUUUAAUUCACAUCUAGUUUUUAAAAAGCAUAAACUGUACUUUUAGUACAAUUUUAAUUACACUAAUUUAUAUCUCUUUUAACUGCGAAAAAAACAACAACCACAUGUCUGCUUCAUUAUGUCCACAAAUCAUCAUGGUUGUCUAUCUUCCUUUUUUAUGAAAAUUGUUAAAGUUACUUUAUACUAUUCUAUUUAGAACUGAUUCAUGCUUAAUAAAUAUCUUACUCAGUUUUUUAAUGUGCUGUUAAACUUAACAUAUUUGGUGUUCAAAUAAUACAAGUAUUCAGUUAAUGCGAACAGUUUUUUAAACACAGCUUCUGUUUAAGUUAGCUGAGUGCUUCUAUCAUACCUUGCACAAAUUAGUUUUCCAGAAAAAUUUUCUUCGAAACAAGCUGUUUUCCUCUUGAAGUUAACAUUGAUACUAAUUAUUGAUUAUCUGAUAUUUUGUGAACUGUUUAGAACUUUUUGUCUGUAUGAACAAUUUUACAUAUAACAGGACAAAGCAUAUUAAAGCAAUAUAUCAUAUUUUUGAUCAACAUCUAAGCAGCUGUUGAAAGAGACUUCUAAUGCAAAAAGUAAUGAAAUUUAGAGAGAAACAAUACAGAUAGAAGAACUAUAAGAACACUGUAUGUUAUGAUAUCCUUCACUUCAAUACAAAAGCCUUCUUCAUCAGACUGUUCCCAUUCCAGCAAUUGUUGUUUGGCUUCAUCAUCAUUAAAUGACAAAGAUAAAAUCUUUGCCAACAACUAUGGGUUAUUUUAUGAACAGUCUACUCUGUUCAGUCUUUAUUCUCUCCUUCUUAAUGUUAGUGUUUUGUGUAUUUUAAUUAGAAAGUUUUGAAAAUGUUGAACGAAUAGAUCUUUUUUAAAAGUGUUCUUUCUUUUUUUUCUGCUCUUUUACCAUUUUUUUUUUUUAAUAUGACUCUACCCUGAUGAUCAUUACUGAGAGAUAAAGGAAUAUGUGCUUCUACUUAACAGAAAAUACUAUUCGGCUGUUUUAUUAGUAUCAGAGAGGUGUCUUCUUUGCAUCUGUUCUAUGAAUUUUGAAUAAUCAGAAUUACUGUGUAUCAUAUUAAAUGUCUUUUAAUAGCUAAAAAUAUAAAUCUUUACCAAAAAUUGUUCUAUGAGAAUUUUAUCAAGUGAUACAGCUGGAAUAUCCAAACUAAGAGACAAGUAUAUGCUUUGUAAGGUGCCUGUAUCCCACAUUACAUCUGCUAAUGCAUUUUAUCCCUAACUCAUAUUUAGUUCCAUUUUCAUAGAAAUAACCAAGACUUCUUUUGAGCUGCAUUAAAAUUGUAUAAAUGAAAAAGAGUAAUACAUUCUGUAAGUGACUUCUAGAAAUGCAUUUAUCGUUAACCCUAGAAAUCUUUACUGGUUUUUAAUUAUUUUAUCCCAGCUUUCAAGCUUUCAUUUCCUUGUGGUUUCUAACCAUUUCAGCAGCAAGCACAAAGCGCAUGAUAAGGCAAUUAAGGCUUUUCUGUUCAUGCUUGUGAUAAGUGAUGUAGCUGGCAAUUGUUCCAAGACUGUAGUAGUGAUUAGUAUUCAGCUCCAGUAUGUCACAAGUAUCUGCACUGCGGCUGUGACAUGAAAAUAGGUUCCAGCACAGUAAUCUAAAACCUGUCAGUAGUCAAGUAAGUAACCAAUAGGAGACUAAGAGAGAACAAAACAAAUUUGUUUUAAUCUAUGGCUAGGUAUGAUGAUUCUUAAUAGAAAAUAACUGUUUAGGUGUGGAUUUUCUAACAAAAUGUUAUAUAAAGACAGUAUGAAGGAGCUUAUUUAACUGAAUAGAAGUCAGGGAAUUUAGUGUUAAGGUGGAAGAUAAAUUCACAGCACAGCCUGCUCUGUGUGUAUAAUAACAUAUCAGACUUGAGAUCAUUCAAUUUUCUAUAAUAUUUCAAUCAUGACAAGACCGUAUUUUAUAUUAAAAAUUAACAAAGGUGAUUAAGCAACAUUUUAGCGAGGCUUAGUGCUGGUAGAAAUUGUUUGCUGUUAGAGUAAGAUUUUAACUGAGUUGGAGCACUCUCUAUGAGUCAUUGCAAUUAGAGACUUGUUGAGGAUGCAUGUAGGUGAGCUUACAUGAUGAUAUGAUCCUUCCCACUGUACAGCAGUUGUUUUCUUCUGACAGGGUUUGCAUAGUGGACAGAGCAAUUCCUAGGCACAGUAUUUACCACAGGAGAAAACAGUUCUGUCAGGAGAAGUCAGAAGUCACUAGGCAGGAAAUCCAGCUUAUAUUACAUCUUCCUUUUAAUGACUUGAUUUGCCUCUAUCUGGAUGAAUUCAUAACUCUCUUUAGGGCAAUUUCAAUUUUUGUUCAAUUUUUGUUCUUUUUAUUUUGAAAAAUUCAGUGGUCACAAACUGCAUGUUGUAUCAUCCUCAAGAGGAUGGUAUAUUAGCCAUUUAUACUGGAAUAAAACUCUCUCUUCAGAUCUGUCAUGUUGUGCUAUGCUGAAUUCCCAUUAUUGCAACAGAAACCUAUGCAUGGAGAAUAUUUUUCUUUGUUUUUGUUCCAGGAAAAUAUGUAUUUGUCAGUAUUAUUGUUGCAAAUGUCUAAUUUAUUUUUUCAGUACUUUCUUGGUCAUUUGUCCACAAUAUAAAGUAAUGCACUGGAAACUUUCAGUAAGGAAGAACCAAUGAUGAAAUAGAAUUAAGAACACCCAGAAUGUAUUUCAAAUAGAGGGUUGUGUUUUUUUCUUCUCUGUACGUAUCACUGAAAAGAAGAACUUGAAUCUUUUUGUGUACUUAUCGACCAAGAACUUCAGCAUGACAGCUUUUUUUUUAUAAAAAAAAGUUUGUGUGUGACUACAGUGGUGAAACUGUUCUUCUAGCACCCCUGAAAUUGGCAGAAUAUAGCAUUACUUUUGUUUACCUGAAGGAAGAAAUCAAUUUUACUUUUCCACAAUACACUUCAGAUGGGAAUUUCCUUUCAAAAUUGAUAAAUAGUACCAUGAACGUCAUGUUUCUUUUUUUUCUUCUUUGCUACCUUGGAUGCAGAUGACAAUAAUUAUUUUAAGUGAAAAUAGGCAAGCGUUUCUUUAAUAAAAGUGUUUACAUAUUGUUUUA